GUAGUAUUUUCAGGACAAGGAACUUUUUUUAAAGAGCUUGCAAAUCUCAAACGGAAUUUUUCAUAUGAUGUAUGUGGUUUUUUGUCACUUCUAUUAUUUUUUUCUUCUUACUUUUGUUUAUAGGAGUGUACUUCAUUUUUAUCUAAUAAAUUUAUUUUAUAUUUUUACAACAUAUUGAGCAUGCCUUUUGUUGGAUUAGGGGUCAUGGAUUGCCUACGUAGACCAAUCGAGUCUCGACCCGACCUGAUCCAUUUCGAAUUUUGAUUAUUUGAUAAAAAGGGGAUAAAAUUGGAUAUUUGAAUUUUGGAGAAACAGUAACAAAAAUUGUUCCACUUCCCUUUAUAUUCCAAAAUUGAUUCUUCUUGUUCAGUGUGUGAAAUAGAGGAAUGAAAAUCAGAAAAAAUAGAAAAAGAAAAGUGGUGAACAAUUUCAACAUUAACAAAACAUCAAAGGCAUUUAAGUUUGUGAAUCAAUAUUCUGUUUCCUAGAGAGACGUAAAUUGACUUGGGACAAUUGUGUCAGUAGCAAAUUCAACCAACAGAUUAAGGUACACACUUUUUUACUAAGAAUUUGCUCUCAAUGGCAUCAGAGCCAGGUUCCAUCUCUGAAUAGUAAUUUCUUGAUAUAAAUCACUGAUUUUUCUUUAUAAAUUUUUCCAGUAAGUGUGAAAAUUCUUGAAAUUAUUUAUUAAGAGUUCAGUACAUACCUGUAAGAGAACAAAUAAGUUCAGAACGAGAUCGAAAAAUUUGAACCCGACGUAAAUUGGAGUAUCAAUUCGCGAUUUGUGAUAAGUCGUACCAUACGUGCGCUUUGGAUUUGAUAUUAUUUUCGUUUCCUCAUAGAUCUGUGAAAGAAAUUUGGUUUUAAGAAAAAAAAAAUUAAUAAGAAAAGUUGAAGAAAAUGUAGAUCUAUGCAUUUUUUUUCUCUGGAAUGUUAUUUCAUAGAGAAAGAUGAAGAUGUGUGCAUUUUUUUAAUUUCUGAAAUAUUGUUUCGCAGAGAAAGAGGAAGUCCUAUGCAUUUUUUUUCUGGAAUAUUAUUUAAUAAAGAAGAUGAACAUCUGUGCACCUUUUUUUAUCUCUCUUCUUUGUCGAAUAUAAUAAAUAAAGGGAGAAAUCUUAAUUUCUUUUACUUUUGGUUGUCGUAUAAGGUAAAUUUUUCUAGAAAACAGUGCCUAAAAAUUGGUGCAAUUAAGGUUAGCACUAUAUUUUAUAUUUCCACUAAUAGUUUCAUUACUAUUCAUUUUAUUUAUUUAAGAACAGGUGUUUGGAAUAAUUAAAUAAACUUAUUCUAAUUUUAGUGGAAAUGAAUAAUUUUUUUUAUUUAUGUCAUCUUUUGUCAUUAUUCAUUAAAAUGGAUUGAGUAAAUAAGUAUGAAUUAGAUUAGAUGUUAUUUUUUCCUUAAUUAGUUCAUAAUUACAUUUUAACAAAUUUUGCCUUCUACAAUUGUCAUAAGUUGUCACAUUGAGUGUUAAAUUAUUCUAAUUGUUUCUUGGUUUCUAUUUCAGAAAUGACUGAACGGGGAUAAACUCUAAUCACUCCAAGUGAGAGUUUUGGAUGUCGAGCAAAGAGACAAUGUGGAAGAGCACGUCGUCGAAGGGCAUGUUUUUGAGGUUGUGAUAUCAUACGAAAUGGUGUCCCCAGGACGAAACAAAAUCUGUUACGAAGCGAAAGAGCUANNNNNNNNNNNNNNNNNNNNNNNNNNNNNNNNNNNNNAACAUUACUGUUGCUAGUUUUAUUCAUUUGUUUGAAUUAAAAUGUGUAGAACUAGAAAACUAAGUAGCAAUCUCGGAUUAAAAAGCAUUAGUUAUUUUAGCAAAUUCUCUCCGAGAUCUUUGGGGCGCGAGAUUAAUUGAUGUUUACCACGAAAGGUGGCUUAGCGAG
rnacentral:lncRNA from 1 species